UGAACUAAAGCUUUCAAGGACUUGUAACCCAUCCUAACAGAGGAUGCACUUUGGAGAGCUGAUUUAAAACAGAAGAUGAUUCCACCUCUGCUACCAGCUUGCACCAAUAAUUUUGCAAUUGAAAGCUCAAAUACUGGACUGUCUGGUUCAAAACUGGAUACCUGGCGACCCUAGACAUAACUUGGGUCAGGACAGGAGGACUGGAAGCUGCUGUGGUCUGAGGUCUACUCUGAAUGAACUAUCCAACGAGUGCAUGAAACCAUCAAAACUGAAACGCCAUUUGGAAUGCAAACAUCCAGAAUACGCAAAUAUAAUUAUGAAAGCUCCAUUCAAGAAGAUCUCUUAUUUUGUAAACCACUUCCAACAAGAACAACGGCUGCCGAAAUUUUUAAGCUAAUUAAUUAUUUUAUUAUUCAAAGCGAUAUUGACUGGAAAAAGUGUGUUGGACUGAGCAGUGAUGGGGCUCGAGCAAUGGCAGAGUCUCGCACUGGGCUUGUCCCGCGGAUUCGAGCUGUAGUGCCUGAUUGUGUAUGGGUGCACUGUAAUAUUCACAGAGAGGUACUAGCUGUGAAAACUAUGCCAUCACUUUUGAGUUCCACUCUUCAAGAAUGUGUGAAGUUUAUAAAUUAUAUAAAAUCUCGUCCUUUGAAUUCCAGAAUCUUUACUGCUUUGUGCAACAAAUUAGGAAGUGAACAUGAGCAUCUCUUGCUACACUAUAAGGUUCGAUGGCUGUCGAAAGGAAACAUUUUUAAAAGACUCUUUGAAAUGAAGGAUGAAGUUUUAUUGUUCUUGGAGUGACUCCCUCCAUGGGCAAAAGAUGUUAUAUUUACAUUUAAAGACAGGUUUCAUGAAUUUGAUUGGUUAACAAUGGUGCCUUACUUAAGUGACAUAUUUUGUCUUUUAAAUGAUUUAAGUUUGAAUUUACAAGGCACUAAAAUUAAUAUUUUCAAAGUUCAGGAAAAAGUUGAGGCAACAAUUUAAAAACUUUGU